AAGUCCAUAGAGAUGUUUUUGUCGACUGCCUCUUUGUUUCUCUGCGUUUUUUCCUCCUUUCUCCUUUCCUCUGUCUGAUUUUUCUCUUCUCUUCUCCUUUCUCAAUCAAAUUGAAUCUGUUCCCAACUCCACAACAUCAAUCGAUCUCAUCUUCUUCUCCUCCUCAUCCUCCUUUGUCUCUGUCUCUCUGUCUCUCUGUCUCUGUUCUUCUCCAAAACGGCAAAACCAAACCCGUGGAAAAGGAAAGCCCCAACCCAACCCGAAGUCUCUCCGAAUUUGUAGGAUCUUCUUCUUCAAGCCUUACCCUCUGCUACCAAUCUCAGAUUUCAGGCACAAUAACUGUGGUUCAGCAUCAAUUCUAUUCCAUGACAAACUAGACCUCCAAUGCUUUGCAGUUAAAUUAUUCUUGCAUCAGCUCUCCAACGUAGCUUGAAGCCCCAAUUGGGAAUUUGGAAUGGUAAGAAGCCUUGAAACUUGUUUUUACUAUUAUUAUGAAUCUAUUAAUGAUAUCCAUAUGAUAC